AUUGAACGCUGGCGGCAUGCUUUACACAUGCAAGUCGAACGGUAACAGGCCGCAAGGUGCUGACGAGUGGCGAACGGGUGAGUAAUGCAUCGGAACGUGCCCAGUCGUGGGGGAUAACGCAGCGAAAGCUGCGCUAAUACCGCAUACGAUCUAUGGAUGAAAGCGGGGGACCGUAAGGCCUCGCGCGAUUGGAGCGGCCGAUGUCAGAUUAGGUAGUUGGUGGGGUAAAGGCUCACCAAGCCAACGAUCUGUAGCUGGUCUGAGAGGACGACCAGCCACACUGGGACUGAGACACGGCCCAGACUCCGACGGGAGGCAGCAGUGGGGAAUUUUGGACAAUGGGCGCAAGCCUGAUCCAGCAAUGCCGCGUGCAGGAGGAAGGCCUUCGGGUUGUAAACUGCUUUUGUACGGAACGAAACGGUCCUGGUUAAUACCCGGGGCUAAUGACGGUACCGUAAGAAUAAGCACCGGCUAACUACGUGCCAGCCGCCGCAGUAAUAC
rnacentral:rRNA from 1 species